AAUAUAAUUACCUUUGUACAAUAAAGGAAGUUAAGAAAUACCUUUGAACCAAAUAAAGAAACAAUAAAUACAUAUCAAAAAAGUCAGCAGAUACAUUUGAAACAAAAAAGGAAGACAAGAAAUACCUUUGAACAGAAAAAAAAAACAGUAUAUACGUUUCCAUCUACUAUAUAUAUUGUAUACUCUACUUGGCCCAUAAAAACAAAAAUCAUCAAAUCCCAAAAACACAAUCCAUAAUGGCUUCCUCUACAAAUUGCAAAGUCGUUUUGACACCAAUCAUGUUUCUGUUAAUUCUCCUCACAAAAGCGUCGUUUGGUCUUUCAGCUCUAGUGAACGAAACGGUGAUGCCAAAGGACGUACUCACAUCCAAACAAGUCGUGAUCAUUAACAAAUUAGGCAUACGCCAAACACUAGAUCUGCAUUGUAAGAACGGGGAGAAAGAUCUAGGGCCGGUUUCGCUCGUACCUGGAGAUAGGUUUGCGUUUAAGUUUCUCUCAAGUACCUUGCUACCCACAACGUACACUUGCAGUUUCCAGUGGCCUGACGCAGGUAAGGAGUUGUUGUUCGACAUUUUCACGACGAGUAGAGACGCCAGCGUUUGUGAUUUAUGCAUUUGGUACGUUCUCGACAGUUUGAUAUGUCGGGUGCGACCUGAUAAGGAAGAGCCUACCUUCUGUCACUAUUGGAAUCUUAGUAGAUCUUAACUAAAAAAUUAUUAAUGUUUACUAUUGAAUCAUAUAAAUUAUAAAAGUAAUAAAAUAAAUCAGAUCGUUUGGUAUAGAAUACUAGAGUGAUAUCAUACUGUUAAAUUGUUAAUAAUAUGUCGGAUGCGACGUGACAAGGAAGAACCUACUUACUGUGAUAUCUUGAAUCCUAAUAGUAGAUUUUAACAACAACAACAAAACAAUAGUGUUUUCUAUAUAUUUUAUUGAAACUAAUAUACAGUAAGUUAUGAAAUUAUUAAAACAAAUCAGAUCGUAGAAUACUAAUGUAUGCCACAACAACCAUACAUUAGUGGUGAAAAAUAUUACGACGUUCCGAUUAGAUAGCGUAGGAUCCAUUUUAGUGAUCUUAGGUGUUACUAGAUUUCGUCGUUGUACGUCGGGUUAAAAUCGUGUGGCUGUAAUCCUGUAUUCACUUUGGUUAAUGAAAAUUGUUGAUGAAUAAAAAAAAAAGAAUACUAAUGUAUGGAAUAGUUGAUGAAAUUUCUUAGAGAGUAGCUAAAUUUUCAUUAAGGCCGUUCGUUUUUAUAUCCAUACAUUGCAUCUAAACAACUUAACGCUCAUUACACCUGGAUCAGUGCCGUGCCUGAAUUGAGUGAAGUCAAUGAAGCAUGUGCUUAGGACUGAACAUGUAUUUAUAUUUGUCGGCGCCAAUGUUAACAGGAAAUUCUUAUAGGUCUAUUGGUAACAGCUGAUGUUUGUCGGAGUCACAGACCCGAGUUCAAAACUUCCUCGCUACAUUUUUUAGUUUUUUUAAUGAUUUUUAAAAGUAGAUGGGCCAAAUUUGGCUUCUGGGCCUGAUCUGAAUACAAAUAUUAAUUUUAAAAACAAACACCAUUUGAAUGUAAUAUCUACAUGUUAUAGUCACAUACUAAAUUUACAUGCUGCAUCAAAUACAAAAAUGAAUAUUGUGUCCAAGUUUAUAUUGAUUUCGACUUCCGAUGAAACUAGGGAAGCUUAGCAACCUCUCAUGAGCUACCGUACUGUCACUCGCAGAUACGCUACAGUCAUUUUAUUUAUAUGUAUUAUAACAGCAUUAUCAAGUCUUCUUUAUCAACAACAAGGGAUUCCAUUUUCGUAAUUAAACAUAGCUGUUCUGUUUAUAAACUUGGAAGUUCAUGAUUUGGGAGAUGUCUGUGUUCUGUAACAGGGGGACCACUAGUUGUCCCAUGGUUGAAGCAGUCUAUCAACCAACUGGUACACAGAAACGAAUCUCUGGAAACCAAGAACUUGCUGAAACAUAUUUAACAUUGAUGCCAACCUCUAUCACCUAGAUGUGCAGAAUACUUAGCCAUGGUCAGCUCAAAUCUGAACGUUUCUGUUUCUCUUGGCAGUGGCACAUGAUCAUGACCCACUUCUAUAACUUAUUUGACGACCAAAGCAUUACAAAUGAUCAAUUCUGAGCAAUCUGUGAAUGUAACUUGUCGGUAUUUCUCGUCGUAAGACUGCUGUUCCAAGCUGUUAUCUAUAUUGUUUGGAAGGAGAGAAACUCGAGAUUGCACACGGGUCUGUGCAGACCUCCGCAGGCUAUUAUUCAGGAAAUCCAGCAAGUCAUUAAGCUCAGAUUGGACCCUUUGUCUCGCAGUAUGAGAGCGCCUUACUCAGCAACAACAAUAACUCCUCUUGGUUUUUGGUUAAGUAUUUUUUGAGGGAUCUUUUUUGUAAAGUCCCUGUAUCCCAUUGUUGGGUGAUUUUUUUGUAAAGUUAAGCUUAGCGCUAACUGGUCUGUUUAGUGCAGAUUUGUAAUCGAUACCUUUGGUUACUUUUAUAUAUAAAAAGAAAGUAGGAUGUUGGAAAAAAAAAAAAAAAAAAAAACUUGUCGGUAUUUCUUCAUUUUACCAUCUGAGGCCAUCUCCCUUUCAGGUGGUGCAGCAAUGAUGCUAAAUCCAGUUAUCUUUGUCUGCUUCAGAAACAUAAACAAUAAGUCGAAAAGAUCGGUUCCAUUCAACCGUUGGGUGAAUAUAGCGGCAUCCCUCGGGGGUCCCACUACGGGAUUAAUGAUGCUACGGCCAGGUUCCUAUUAGAGAUAACCGGAAUUGUAUAGUUGGUUUAGCUUAAACCAUGUAACUAAACCGGCUCUUCUGUAUAUAUAUAAACAGAGUAACUAACUCUGUAACAGAAUAACAGAAUACAUUUCAUUCACAUUUCUAUCUUCUUCAUCGUCUCUAACAGUUCCAUGUCAAAGACGUGUACCUGAUUUGAACGGUCAACGAUUCUGGAUCGUAGCUUGUUGAUGUUCCAUCGACUGAGUCAACUCGCUCCGUUGAAUCGGCAAGCUUCUUCAAUCUCUCGUCGUCCAUUUCAGUCACCGUCGUCGAUCCCAACAGUCAAACCGCACCAAUUUGAGAAAGAAGAUCCAAACUCCAAGCAAGCAUGGUCUCUCGAUUUGAUUUAAAGUUGGGAUCAAAUCAAAUCUGAACUUUAAUUUAUCAUAUAACCUAAACUUCCUUGGAGUUAGUUGGUGGCACGUGACCCCGAUAAUCGUCCGCCCACACCAUCACGUGAUAUGAUUCAUUUUCAGUUCAAGCUCCGACACAACGGCGACUUUGUUCCGUCGGACAGCCUCGUGUGGCUUGUCCGGGAGCUGCAGGAAAAAAAAUGUGUAUUUUUCGUUAACCCAUUUUAUGACAAGUCGUGGACUGCUCAAGGCCGCCGUCCAUUCCUCAUAAUAAUAAGCCCCCUUAGCCUUAACCACGUCUGCUAGAAAGAAAGAGAGCUUCGUCAAGCGAUCCUCUUCUCUGAGUGUUAGAUAUCAUAUAUUGUUACGAUUGAAUAGUUCCUAUAUCUCAGGGAAUAUUCCUUAUGGUUGUAACUGUCUGGCCUUUAUAUGUAACGAUGAAUACAAAGUAUGAUUUCAGGGGAAACUCAUUGACUUACCGAUGUGGAUCUUUGAACUCUCAAAGUUAUUAAGGAUCAGACAAGUGUUAUCUCUCGUUCUCUAUUUCUUGCUUGACACUCAAUAUAUUGCUUUAUUCUUAUAUAACAGAAACCACAUGUCUUUAUUAGAUAUUUAGACACGUACAUACACAUGUGUAACUGUUUUGCAGUUAACAAUUAUAUUUGUAUAUGUUCGGUGUGUGAUACGAAUACAUCAAUUAAUUACUUAACUAUAUAAUAUAUAUGACUCUUCUAAACUAAUAAUAUAAGAUGAAGACUUGAUCACAUCCAACAACCGAGUGAUCGAAACCGAGAUUGGAUUCGUUGAUGAUUACGAUCGAGUAAUCCCUUCCUUUCAUCGUUUUCAUCUCAAUUCUGUUUUUGAUUUUGUGUGAAGCUUGAAGAAACGCCAUGGAAGACAGACAAGCCAGGAGCUAAGAUCGUGUCAUUGACUAGAGACUACCAAGGAGAGAGAGUGUUAUAGUUUGAAGUAUACAUGACUAAUCUUGUGACAGGUGAUAAAGGAGAUGAGGAAGAAGCCUAAGCAAUCUAAUGUGCCUCUCUUAGUCAGUAACAACUUUCUAACAAAACAUGGCCAAGUUUGGAUCAGUUGGUAUGUACUACUUUUCCGGACAAGAUUGUGUUCAAGGACAUGUGGGUGAUCUGAAGGCUGGUGGUGUCGAGAAACUGUUUUCACGAGGGUCCUCCGUUGUUAGGAAGCAAAAGGAACGGGAAGAAAGGUGGAGAGCUUAUGAGAAUUGAUAAUGGUCAUGGUUGAUUAAAAGGACUGGAUUUGAAGCAGAGUAUUCUUAUCUCAUUUAUGUUGUUCGACUGGUCAGGGUGAUACACGGGUCACUUACAUGUUUGUACAACAUAGUGACGUUUACCUUAUGAUAGCAUCCACGCAGAACUGUAAUGCUGGUAGUCUUCUCUCCUUCCUUGCUUUUAAGGCGUACGCAUAAUUGUAUUGCUGUUGCAUAUGAUGGAAAUGGUGAUCUUUAUAGGUCUUUAAACAUUAUUGUGAGGAGUUAGAGGAAGAAUCUCCAAGGUUUACUUUGUCCUAGUGGUAUGUUACUUCUGCCACACCUCUUGUACUAUACUGUCUGAAGAAAGUUUUUCUAUGGUUUGAUGUUCAAAUUGAUUUAUGGUGAUGGCUGUAUGCAUUACUUGAUGAGAUGACUGACUUUGGGUACCCUCACUCAGUAUAUGGAAGCAAGAAUCCUCAAUGAAUUCAUAUUCCAUUCUCUUUUUGGGUGGUGGAUUUGGUUAUGCCAAGGAUACCUUGACCGGAGAAGCAUACAAUUGGUGGAAUCAGCUAGAUGCUAAUAGGAUCUAUUUCAAUGAUCCAGCCUUUACUUGGAAAGAGGUGAAGAUGGUCAUGUAUACUGAGUUUGUGGAAAGAGCACAACACAUUCAGAAGGCGUCCACCAGGAGACUAGUAAAACCACAAGUCUUGCAACCAGCAACUCAAAGAGAGGCUGUUCCCCAAAGACAAAGUUCAAGGCCAGUGCAUAAACCUCAAGUCAAGCGAACACAAGGUGAGUACUCUAGUACUUCUAAACCACCUGAGGUCAUCUGUUAUAGGUGUCAAUCCCCUGGUCAUCUAGCAAAAGAUUGCCCCACAAAAUGAUUUGUGAGGUCCGCACAUCUUGAACCAAAAUCUGAAGUAAGUGAUUCCUUUACUAAAAUGGAUAAUUCAUUAACUAGAAUAGAUAAACUUUGUGAUGAUCUUAUCAACAUGCUUAGGGCCGGAUCAAUGAAAGAAAAAUAACUUUUAGAUGCUAAAGAGCAACCCUCUAAUUAUAAACUUCAUGUAAAUAAGAAACAAGAAAUUGUUUCACCUUCUGAAAAUUUAGAGGAUCAAGUAGAAAGAUAUAAUUCUGUUUCUAGUAAUUCCAUGACUGUCUUAACACACUUGUCUAGUGCCCAAAAGGUUGAAAACAUUUCAGGUACUACCAUGGAAAUCAAGGAACAAGCACCCAUCCUUGCUGCGGAAGCAAUGCCAACACUUGAUAAGGUGAUUUCUGAACUUAAUGUGAUCAAUCCUACUUAUCAAAACACUGGUAUGAUGCACUUGCACUAUGUCCGGAAUGUUGAUGAAGGUCUAGGUAUGGAGGAACCAUGUCCAGAAGCUCACCAACCUGAGGAGCAUGAGCAAUAUACCCGAGACAUUUCCUCACCAGCUGAUCAUGCAUUAAAGAUGACAAAUACCAAAGCUGAAGUAACGAAGGUACUCUAGAAGAAAACAAGAUUUUAGACAAAAUGCAUAGGCAGAGAAGGUUGCUGAUGUGGAAAAGCUCACUCAGGCAGUAACAGAGCUGGAAGAGGCUGUUCUUGCAGGUGGUUCUGCUGCAAAUGCCGUUAGAGAAUACAAGCGAAAAAUUCCAAGGGAUAAAUGUAAACUAACCACACUUUCACAAGACUGUCAUAAAAAAGAGACAUAAAGUCUUUUAGUUUUCUUGGCAUAUAAAUUCAAUUCUUGCUGUGUUUUUCAGGAAGAGAGGAAAACUCUAGACAGGGAGUUAGCACGUGCAAAGGUUACAGCAAACAGAGUUGCCACCGUUGUAGCAAAUGAGUGGAAAGAUGGUAACGAUAAAGUGAUGCCUGUGAAGCAAUGGCUUGAAGAAAGAAGGUUUCUACAGGGAGAAAUGCAGCAACUUCGCGAUAAGCAUGCCAUAACAGACCGAGCUGUUAAAUCCGAAGCACAGUUAAAGGUAUAAUGGAUCUUAUGUACUAGAGGUCAUUAGCUUAACUGGAAUUUUUAGCCAUCGG